rnacentral:rRNA from 1 species
GUCAGCGACUUAUAUUCUGUAGCAAGGUUAACCGUAUAGGGGAGCCGAAGGGAAACCGAGUCUUAACUGGGCGUUAAGUUGCAGGGUAUAGACCCGAAACCCGGUGAUCUAGCCAUGGGCAGGUUGAAGGUUGGGUAACACUAACUGGAGGACCGAACCGACUAAUGUUGAAAAAUUAGCGGAUGACUUGUGGCUGGGGGUGAAAGGCCAAUCAAACCGGGAGAUAGCUGGUUCUCCCCGAAAGCUAUUUAGGUAGCGCCUCGUGAACUCAUCUUCGGGGGUAGAGCACUGUUUCGGCUAGGGGGUCAUCCCGACUUACCAACCCGAUGCAAACUGCGAAUACCGAAGAAUGUUAUCACGGGAGACACACGGCGGGUGCUAACGUCCGUCGUGAAGAGGGAAACAACCCAGACCGCCAGCUAAGGUCCCAAAGUCACAGUUAAGUGGGAAACGAUGUGGGAAGGCUCAGACAGCCAGGAUGUUGGCUUAGAAGCAGCCAUCAUUUAAAGAAAGCGUAAUAGCUCACUGGUCGAGUCGGCCUGCGCGGAAGAUGUAACGGGGCUAAACUGUGCACCGAAGCUGCGGCAGCGACGCUUAUGCGUUGUUGGGUAGGGGAGCGUUCUGUAAGCCUGCGAAGGUGUCCUGUGAGGGAUGCUGGAGGUAUCAGAAGUGCGAAUGCUGACAUAAGUAACGAUAAUGCGGGUGAAAAGCCCGCUCGCCGGAAGACCAAGGGUUCCUGUCCAACGUUAAUCGGGGCAGGGUGAGUCGACCCCUAAGGCGAGGCCGAAAGGCGUAGUCGAUGGGAAACGGGUUAAUAUUCCCGUACUUGGUGUUACUGCGAAGGGGGGACGGAGAAGGCUAUGUUGGCCGGGCGACGGUUGUCCCGGUUUAAGCGUGUAGGCUGGUUUUCCAGGCAAAUCCGGAAAAUCAAGGCUGAGGCGUGAUGACGAGGCACUACGGUGCUGAAGCAACAAAUGCCCUGCUUCCAGGAAAAGCCUCUAAGCAUCAGGUAACAUCAAAUCGUACCCCAAACCGACACAGGUGGUCAGGUAGAGAAUACCAAGGCGCUUGAGAGAACUCGGGUGAAGGAACUAGGCAAAAUGGUGCCGUAACUUCGGGAGAAGGCACGCUGACACGUAGGUGAAGUGAUUUACUCA